rnacentral:tRNA from 1 species
GUCCCCAUCGUCUAGUCAGGUCCAGGACACUGGGUUUUCAUCCCAGCAACGCCGGUUCAAAUCCGACUGGGGACG